GGGUCCAGCCUGCUUUGCAGGAACGCGCCAACCUUGGUCAGGCCAACAAACUGCUACCUCUUCUACGAGAUCGAGACGUGGAUUUUUACCGAGAAUACAUCAGGAUGCCUCCACGUACUUUCGACACGCUGUUGCACCUUGUGAAACGUCAUAUUGAAAAAAAGGACACCAACUUCCGGAAGGCAAUCAGUCCCGAGCACUGACUUGCACAAACUUUGAGAUUCUUGGCUGCAGGGGAAACACUUCGUUGCUCAUCUUUCAACUUUUUAAAUGGUCGUUCGACAGCGUGCUAUAUUGUGUCGACAGUGUGCCAGGUGCUCUGGGAUGUACUUGGUCCUAUAUACGUUGCCCGUCCAUCAAGUGCAGGCGAGUGGCUACAGAUUGCAAAAGAGUUUGAGGAACGUUGGAACAUGCCCCACUGUGUGGGUGCAAUUGAUGGAAAACACAUCGCCAUCGAAUGCCCUGCCAAAUCGGGAAGUGAGGACUAUAACUACAAACACUUCUUCAGUAAAUCGAUGCUUGCUGUCAGCGACGCCUGCUACAGGUACA